rnacentral:rRNA from 1 species
CACGUAGGGCGCAAGCGUUGUCCGGAAUUAUUGGGCGUAAAGAGCUCGUAGGCGGUCUGUUGCGUCCGCUGUGAAAACUCGGGGCUUAACCCCGAGCCUGCAGUGGAUACGGGCAGACUAGAGGUAGGUAGGGGAGAAUGGAAUUCCCGGUGUAGCGGUGAAAUGCGCAGAUAUCGGGAGGAACACCGGUGGCGAAAGCGGCUCACUGGACCACAACUGACGCUGAGGCGCGAAAGCUAGGGAAGCAAACAGG